CGUNNGGAGCUCUCCCAUAUGGUCGACCUGCAGGCGGCCGCGAAUUCACUAGUGAUUAGAGUUUGAUCCUGGCUCAGGAUGAACGCUGGCGGCGUGCCUAACACAUGCAAGUCGAACGAAGCAAUUAAAGGAAGUUUUCGGAUGGAAUUUGAUUGACUGAGUGGCGGACGGGUGAGUAACGCGUGGAUAACCUGCCUCACACUGGGGGAUAACAGUUAGAAAUGACUGCUAAUACCGCAUAAGCGCACAGUGCCGCAUGGUACGGUGUGAAAAACUCCGGUGGUGUGAGAUGGAUCCGCGUCUGAUUAGCCAGUUGGCGGGGUAACGGCCCACCAAAGCGACGAUCAGUAGCCGACCUGAGAGGGUGACCGGCCACAUUGGGACUGAGACACGGCCCAAACUCCUACGGGAGGCAGCAGUGGGGAAUAUUGCACAAUGGGCGAAAGCCUGAUGCAGCGACGCCGCGUGAGUGAAGAAGUAUUUCGGUAUGUAAAGCUCUAUCAGCAGGGAAGAAAAUGACGGUACCUGACUAAGAAGCCCCGGCUAACUACGUGCCAGCAGCCGCGGUAAUACGUAGGGGGCAAGCGUUAUCCGGAUUUACUGGGUGUAAAGGGAGCGUAGACGGCGAAGCAAGUCUGAAGUGAAAACCCAGGGCUCAACCCUGGGACUGCUUUGGAAACUGUUUUGCUANAGUGUCGGAGAGGUAAGUGGAAUUCCUAGUGUANCGGUGAAAUGCGUAGAUAUUAGGGAGGAACACCAGUGGCGAAGGCGGCUUACUGGACGAUAACUGACGUUGAGGCUCGAAAGCGUGGGGNAGCAAACAGGAUUAGAUACCCUGNUAGUCCACGCCGUAAACGAUGAAUGCUANGUGUUGGGGGGGCAANNCCCUUCNGUGNCNGUCNCNNCNCANUA
rnacentral:rRNA from 1 species